AGUGAACGCUGGCGGUAGGCCUAACACAUGCAAGUCGAACGGCAGCACAGUAAGAGCUUGCUCUUACGGGUGGCGAGUGGCGGACGGGUGAGGAAUACAUCGGAAUCUACUUUUUCGUGGGGGAUAACGUAGGGAAAGUUAAGCUAAUACCGCAUACGACCCACGGGUGAAAGCAGGGGAUCUUCGGACCUUGCGCGAAUGAAUGAGCCGAUGUCGGGUUAGCUAGUUGGCGGGGUAAAGGCCCACCAAGGCGACGAUCCGCAGCUGGUCUGAGAGGAUGAUCAGCCACACUGGAACUGAGACACGGUCCAGACUCCUACGGGAGGCAGCAGUGGGGAAUAUUGGACAAUGGGCGCAAGCCUGAUCCAGCCAUACCGCGUGGGUGAAGAAGGCCUUCGGGUUGUAAAGCCCUUUUGUUGGGAAAGAAAAGCAGCAGGUUAAUACCCCGCUGUUCUGACGGUACCCAAAGAAUAAGCACCGGCUAACUUCGUG
rnacentral:rRNA from 1 species